rnacentral:rRNA from 1 species
UACGAAGGGGGCUAGCGUUGCUCGGAAUCACUGGGCGUAAAGCGCACGUAGGCGGAUUGUUAAGUCAGGGGUGAAAUCCUGGAGCUCAACUCCAGAACUGCCUUUGAUACUGGCGAUCUCGAGUCCGGGAGAGGUGAGUGGAACUGCGAGUGUAGAGGUGAAAUUCGUAGAUAUUCGCAAGAACACCAGUGGCGAAGGCGGCUCACUGGCUCAUAUCUGACGCUCAGGCGCGACAGCGUGGGGAGCGAACAGG